rnacentral:rRNA from 1 species
AGCAGUCGCCGCGGUAAUACGGAGGGUGCAAGCGUUAAUCGGAAUUACUGGGCGUAAAGCGCACGCAGGCGGUCUGACAAGUCAGAUGUGAAAUCCCCGGGCUUAACCUGGGAACUGCAUUUGAAACUGUCAGGCUGGAGUCUUGUAGAGGGGGGUAGAAUUCCAGGUGUAGCGGUGAAAUGCGUAGAGAUCUGGAGGAAUACCGGUGGCGAAGGCGGCCCCCUGGACAAAGACUGACGCUCAGGUGCGAAAGCGUGGGGAGCAAACAGGAUUAGAUACCCGGGUAGUCCCUGUCUCUUAUAA